rnacentral:lncRNA from 1 species
GGAUUAUUUAAAAUUGUGGCAGUGGAAUACUCCUUGGUUAAAAAAAAGAAAAUGAAUUAUUCUUAUGCAUACAUAACACCAUAGUUGAUUCUCACAGACAUUAGGAUGAGUAAAAGAAGACAAACUUGAAAGAAGAUAUUAUGCAUGCUUCUAAUUCACAUGAAGUUCUAGAACACACAAAACUAAACUGUGGAGAAAAAAAUCAGAAGAGUGGUUUCCUAGGUGAGAAUAGAGUGUAGUGCCUGGUAAGGAUCAUAAGAAAUAUCCUUGGGUGAAGCAUCAGUUACAUGGGUGUGAACACUGCCGAAACACUGAAUUGUACACUUGAGAUCUGUACAUUCCACUAUACUUAAGUUGUAUCUCACUUUAGGCAAACGAAUACACCAGAGGGCAGGUGGCAUGAGAGAAAGGAAGACGAUGCUGUGAUUUCUGGUAGCGAGAAUGCCAGCAAACAGGGAGAAGCAGCCCUGUUUGUUCCCUGGGCAACGCUCCAAACGUGCUGUCCUGCUGACCUCCCAACAAUCCCAGGGUCUGCUUCCCGGGAAGCCCAACCUAAGACCGGCUGUUACUCAACAGGAAACUUUCAGAACGACAAGAAUAAUGCCUUCCUUCACUAUGUGCAUACAACCUCCAUGAAAAUAAAAUAAAAUAGUGUAAGAGUGAUUAUUUUCUGAAAUGAUGCCAAGUUAUAGCUAUUAUUGUGUUAAACAUUAGUUUAUUUAUUACUCAAGUGAAUUUGCAAUAGAUUCAUUAUAA